CAUGUCCUACGGGGGGCAGCAGUGGGGAAUAUUGCACAAUGGGGGGAACCCUGAUGCAGCGACGCCGCGUGGGUGAAGGAGUACUUCGGUACGUAAAGCCCUAUCAGCAGGAAAGAAAAUGACGGUACCUGACUAAGAAGCCCCGGCUAACUACGUGCCAGCAGCCGCGGUAAUACGUAGGGGGCAAGCGUUAUCCGGAUUUACUGGGAGUAAAGGGAGCGUGGACGGCAGUGCAAGUCCGGAGUGAAAGCCCGGGGCUCAACACUGGGACUGCUCUGGAAACUGUAAAGCUGGAGUGCGGGUGG
rnacentral:rRNA from 1 species